rnacentral:rRNA from 1 species
CGAACGGGUGAGUAACACGUGAGCAACCUGCCCCUGACUCUGGGAUAAGCGGUGGAAACGCCGUCUAAUACCGGAUACGACCUUCCGCCUCAUGGUGGAGGGUGGAAAGUUUUUUCGGUCAGGGAUGGGCUCGCGGCCUAUCAGCUUGUUGGUGGGGUAACGGCCUACCAAGGCGAUUACGGGUAGCCGGCCUGAGAGGGCGACCGGCCACACUGGGACUGAGACACGGCCCAGACUCCUGCGGGAGGCAGCAGUGGGGAAUAUUGCGCAAUGGGCGAAAGCCUGACGCAGCGACGCCGCGUGGGGGAUGACGGCCUUCGGGUUGUAAACCUCUUUUACCACCAACGCAGGCUCCGGGUUCUCUCGGGGUUGACGGUAGGUGGGGAAUAAGGACCGGCUAACUACGUGCCAGCAGCCGCGGUAAUACGUAGGGUCCGAGCGUUGUCCGGAAUUAUUGGGCGUAAAGAGCUCGUAGGCGGCGUGUCGCGUCUGCUGUGAAAGACCGGGGCUUAACUCCGGUUCUGCAGUGGAUACGGGCAUGCUA